CUUUGCAAAGCACAGGUAAACCAGGAGCACCUGGUGGCCAAAUUGCUAAGAUCUGGGGCUUUGGAGCUCUUGUGGGAGGCAGCUGCAAUAAAGGAGAGCACAGAAGCAAGGUGUCUGGUAUCCUGGGUGACUGCCCUCACCCCUGAAUUGUUUGUAAGACAAGACAGCUUACCUACCACUGUCUCUUCCCCUUUAGGUAUGAUUUGAAAGAGGGUAGCAGUGGUCAGCAUGCUCAGUGUGGAACAUGUCUUGUCAGCCAUGCUCAGAGCUGGACCUGUUGUGUGGGGUUUCAAGCAACAUGUGCAGUGAGGCUGGAUUCUGGAUGGUGCAAGGCUGUUGUGUCAGAAUGCUGCAAAAGACAUUGCAUCUCCUCCUCAUGGUGUUGGUGAAGUUUCCCUCUGUGCAGGGAAUACAGCAUUUAUGGACAGGAAACUGCUUUCCUUGCUUAGAGGUUUUCUUAUUUUUUUUAAAGGGGUUAGCAUGCUUAGUUACAGGAAACUGAAAUUAGAUGUGAACAGGGGUUGGAGGAAGGAGGCAGGGAGAAUCCUCUACAAGAUUCAAAUGUGUAUGAUUUCUGGGAAAACUAAAUAAAACAGAAUUUAAUUCCCAGUGUCUAAAUAGCAGCAAUUUUUCAUCUAUUAAUCAAAAGACCCAGACAAGCACUGAGUAGUGUGGGAAGCUGGAAAUGGACAUAGGACACCUCCAAACCAUUCUGUUACUGACACCUAUUUUAAAUCUUUUUUUCAAGUGGAGGACCCAGUCCUGGCAAAUGCGUAAAGUCAGCCCUUAGAAGAGCACAAAGCUUUCUCUAGAGAACUGAAUAGCUGGUGAAAGCAUGCCCAUUUGUCUACCUGUCUUUUGCCAAUGGAUAACUGUGCUUUUAUAGACUGUUUUCAUAGCUCAGAUAAAUGGUAGAAGCUUAACAUAGCUCUACAAAUAAUAAUCAUCCUGAUCAUGCAUAAUAUGCGUUAUGUAAGAGGUGGGCCCAAACUAGAGAUAUUUCUCAUUUCCCUAUGAAGUGUCUUGUUUGAGUGUAUUUGGAGUUAGUUCUUCUUGUGAACAUGUGAGUCUAUUGCCUGCUUUAAAGGAGGUAGUGACUUAGUUUCAGUGGCUGUAGAGAGUUUCACUGAAAUAACACUGUUUAUAGUCUUUAAUGUGAUUUAGAAGGCACAAUUGCCAUAUAGUUCUGAAAAUGUAAUAUAAUUGUAUACAGUGUUCAUGGGAAAUGUUCUGAAGUUUUUUCCCACUGCACCAUUGUGAUGAAAACCUCUGUUGCUCUUCACACUCUGUGAGCCCAUGCUGUACUAUGCUGAAGCUGAUGGGAAACCCACUUAGUAAUGGGAAGUGAUGGACAGAGAGGGAUGCUCUGGCCUGGAAUCUCCUCUCUUUGGCAAUGGCACAGGUAGAAAGCAUCUCCUAAUGUGACAGUUCUUGGCACCUGUAACAAGCAAGGAUUGUAAUAUCUCCUCAUGGCUGCUGACUGAGAGUCUGGUCCUCUGAUAAGAUGUGACCUCCUGGAUACCUGUGACUCAAAAAGAUAAUCGGUGUCUAUAGGACUGGGCUUAAAGCAACUAUGACAUGGGAAAUCCAAAGAUACUUAUGGAGCAAGUCUGCUGAGUAGUCUUGAGCAUGGAUGUAAAACCACAGUUCCUAGGAGGCAAUAUUCACCCUGUAUUGAUAUUAUUUGGGUGCAAACAAUGCAGAGACCUACUCUGACUCUCAGUGCAGGACAGCUUGCAGUGUGAGGCUUCUUAGAUCUGUGUGACAAGGCAACAUGACUGGCAUUGGGCAGCCAGAGCUGCCACAAACCCUUCUUGCAUGGGCAGUUGUCUUCAGAGGUAGACAAAGUGUAGGCUGCCUGCUGCAGAAGUCUGUGAGCCUUCAGAUGCAUGGCAUGCAGAUCAGAGACUUUAGGUGAUACUGUGUGCCACUACAAACAGCGUGGAUAUUGGUUGCAGGACCCUUUUGCUUUUGCUGUGAAAUCUAACUCCUAGACGUUAUUUAAAGGAAAACAGUUGGGAUUUGCAGGCCAGGUCAUGUGGUGACGAAAGUAUUUCCAGUGUCCUCAUUGGAGCCAGGCUGAUUUAUACAAGUCUAGUCCAACAUUUCUGAGAAAUUGUGGAUGAUAGGUUUUUUUGUUGUUGUUGUUGGCUGCACUGAAAACCUGAAGCCUUUCAAAUAAAGUAUGUGAAGGAAACAGAAUUUUUAGAUGGAAUAGUGAAAAUGCUGUUUUCUGGACUCAGACUUUGAGACAAGUUUUUUGCAGAACCCACAUGUUGUGAGAGAAGAGGGUAUUGGGCUUGAAAGCUGACCAAUGAAAUGGGACUCAACUGAGCUUUGAAAAGCAAUUAUUGUCCUUAUUGGUGUUGCCAUAAUAUAUGCUUAACUCAAACCCAAUCUUGCAAAGGCCAGAACCCAAUGAAACCAUGUAACUAGGUAUUUGUGAUUGUUCCUGUCGGUGUGAUCCACUGUUGAAUAGGCUGGACAUAUGAAUAAAACCAAUAUUUUUU
rnacentral:lncRNA from 1 species